rnacentral:rRNA from 1 species
GUAUAUGAGGUGAUUAAUUGGAGGGCAAAUCAAGUGCCAGCAGCCGCGGUAAUACUUGUUCCAAGAGUGUGUAUGAUGAUUGAUGCAGUUAAAAAGUCCGUAGUUUAUUUUUUUAAGAAGCAAUAUGAGGUGUACUGUAUAGUUGGGAGAAAGAUGAAAUGUGACGACCCUGACUGGACGAACAGAAGCGAAAGCUGUACACUUGUAUGUAUUUUUUGAACAAGGACGUAAGCUGGAGGAGCGAAGAUGAUUAGAUACCAUUGUAGUUCAGCAGUAAACUAUGCCGACGAUGUGAUAUGAAAAUAUUAAUUUGUAUUACAUAAUAGAAAUUUGAGUUUUAUGGCUCUGGGGAUAGUAUGAUCGCAAGAUUGAAAAUUAAAGAAAUUGACGGAAGAAUACCACAAGGAGUGGAUUGUGCGGCUUAAUUUGACUCAACGCGAGGUAACUUACCAAUAUUUUAUUAUUUUGAGAGGACGGUUUUUUGUUUGAGAAUGAUAAUAGUGGUGCAUGGCCGUUUUCAAUGGAUGCUGUGAAGUUUUGAUUAAUUUCAACAAGACGUGAGACCCUUAUUUUUUUAUUAAAGACAGACACAAUCAGUGUAGGAAGGAAAGGAUUAAAACAGGUCCGUUAUGCCCUCUGACAUUUUGGGCUGCACGCGCAAUACAAUAGAUAUA